CGGAGGAAAAGAAACUAACAAGGAUUCCCCUAGUAACUGCGAGUGAAGCGGGAAAAGCUCAAAUUUAAAAUCUGGCGGUCUUUGGCCGUCCGAGUUGUAAUCUAGAGAAGUGUUAUCCGCGCUGGACCGUGUACAAGUCUCCUGGAAUGGAGCGUCAUAGAGGGUGAGAAUCCCGUCUUUGACACGGACUGCCAGGGCUUUGUGAUGCGCUCUCAAAGAGUCGAGUUGUUUGGGAAUGCAGCUCCAAAUGGGUGGUAAAUUCCAUCUAAAGCUAAAUAUUGGCGAGAGACCGAUAGCGAACAAGUACCGUGAGGGAAAGAUGAAAAGAACUUUGGAAAGAGAGUUAAACAGUACGUGAAAUUGCUGAAAGGGAAACGCUUGAAGUCAGUCGCGUUGGCCGGGAAUCAACCUUGCUUUUGCUGGGCGUACUUUCCGGUCGACGGGUCAGCAUCAAUUUCGAUCGUUGGAUAAAGUCUAGAGGAAUGUGGCAUCUUCGGGUGUGUUAUAGCCUCUGGUCGCAUACAACGGUUGGGAUUGAGGAACUCAGCACGCCGCAAGGCCGGGUACUCGUACCACGUUCGUGCUUAGGAUGCUGGCAUAAUGGCUUUAAUCGACCCGUCUUGAAACACGGACCAAGGAGUCUAACAUGCCUGCGAGUGUUUGGGUGGAAAACCCGAGCGCGUAAUGAAAGUGAAAGUUGAGAUCCCUGUCGCGGGGAGCAUCGACGCCCGGACCAGACCUUUUGUGACGGUCCCGCGGUAGAGCAUGUAUGUUGGGACCCGAAAGAUGGUGAACUAUGCCUGAAUAGGGUGAAGCCAGAGGAAACUCUGGUGGAGGCUCGUAGCGAUUCUGACGUGCAAAUCGAUCGUCAAAUUUGGGUAUAGGGGCGAAAGACUAAUCGA
rnacentral:rRNA from 1 species